UUUGGUGGUCAUAGCACGAGCAAAACACCCGGCUCCAUUCCGAACCCGGCCGUUAAGUGCCGUAGCGCCGAUGGUACUGCGUCUCAAGACGUGGGAGAGUAGGUCACCGCCAAAC
rnacentral:rRNA from 1 species